rnacentral:rRNA from 1 species
AUUGAACGCUGGCGGAAUGCUUUACACAUGCAAGUCGAACGGUAGAGGGGGCAACCCCUCGAGAGUGGCGAACGGGUGAGUAAUAUAUCGGAACGUGCCCAGUCGUGGGGGAUAACGUAGCGAAAGUUACGCUAAUACCGCAUACGAUCUAAGGAUGAAAGCGGGGGAUCGCAAGACCUCGCGCGAUUGGAGCGGCCGAUAUCAGAUUAGGUAGUUGGUGGGGUAAAGGCUCACCAAGCCAACGAUCUGUAGCUGGUCUGAGAGGACGACCAGCCACACUGGAACUGAGACACGGUCCAGACUCCUACGGGAGGCAGCAGUGGGGAAUUUUGGACAAUGGACGCAAGUCCGAUCCAGCCAUUCCGCGUGCAGGAUGAAGGCCCUCGGGUUGUAAACUGCUUUUGUACGGAACGAAAAGGUCUCUCUUAAUACGGGGGACUCAUGACGGUACCGUAAGAAUAAGCCCCGGCUAACUACGUGCCAGCCGCCGCAGUAACAC